AACCUUACCUGGAAGGGGAGACAUCAUGAUCAAGAAGGCAGUUCACCAGGGCGAGGCUCGUCCAUUGCACUCCGGCCGCGCUGACCCAUGCGAAAUGUGGGAAUCU
rnacentral:snRNA from 12 species